rnacentral:sRNA from 1 species
UCGCGAUCCGCAUAUUUCGCGGAUCGCCCUUCGCCCGGAUCCUCGCGAUCCGGGCUUUUUUUGUCCCUGA